GAUGAACGCUGGCGGCGUGCUUAACACAUGCAAGUCGAACGGAAAGGCCAGUGCUUGCACUGGUGCUCGAGUGGCGAACGGGUGAGUAACACGUGGGUGAUCUGCCCUGCACUUUGGGAUAAGCCUGGGAAACUGGGUCUAAUACCAGAUAGGACCAUGCUUUGGAUGGUGUGGUGGAAAGUUUUUUCGGUGUGGGAUGAGCUUGCGGCCUAUCAGCUUGUUGGUGGGGUAAUGGCCUACCAAGGCGUCGACGGGUAGCCGGCCUGAGAGGGUGUACGGCCACAUUGGGACUGAGAUGCGGCCCAGACUCCUACGGGAGGCAGCAGUGGGGAAUAUUGCACAAUGGGCGCAAGCCUGAUGCAGCGACGCCGCGUGGGGGAUGACGGCCUUCGGGUUGUAAACUCCUUUUGCAACUGACGAAGCUUUUUGUGACGGUAGGUUGAGAAGAAGCACCGGCUAACUACGUG
rnacentral:rRNA from 1 species